GUUUCACUGUCACCCAAACCCGACAAGGCUAGCUGGCUGGCUGGCGCUAUGUGAUGUCAUCCACACGCGCCAGCUGACGGUCAUUCUUGUAUUUACUCUUUUAAGGCUCCGCAAUGGAAGUAAAUCGUGAUGAAGCGGAGCGGUGCAUUGAAAUAGCAGCCAUUGCAAUUAAAAAUAAUCAAUUAGAAAAGGCUCGUAGAUUUCUGGAGAAAGCUCAACGAUUGUUUCCAUCAGAGGAUGCAAAAGUCUUGCUAGAGAAAAUUGAGAAGACAGGACAUGCCUCGAGACAAGGAAGCUCACCAGGAACGGAAAACGGCACAGAUACACGACGGAGAAUGAACGUCGAAAAUGACAGUACCAAGGCCUCAGAUUCAUCUAAAUCCUACACGUCAGAAGAAUUAGAUGCUGUCAAGAGAAUAAAACAAUGUAAAGAUUAUUAUGAGACCCUUGCGGUCAAGAAAGAUGCUUCUGAAGAGGACCUCAAGAAAGCGUACAGAAAACUGGCUUUAAAGUUCCACCCAGAUAAGAAUCGUGCUCCUGGUGCAACAGAGGCUUUUAAAGCUAUUGGUAAUGCGUAUGCGGUACUGAGUAACAAUGAGAAGAGGCGACAGUAUGACCGUCUUGGCGAGGAGAGGGCAAGUCCAUCCAGUCAAGGCCCGUCGCCUGCAGACUUUGAGGCCGAUAUCUCGCCAGAGGACCUCUUCAACAUGUUCUUUGGAGGUGGCUUCCCAUCAAGUAAUGUUCACGUAUACAGUAAUGGCCGAAUGCGUUUUCAGCACCAAAGAGCCGCUGGAGCUGGAAGAGAGCAGCGGAGAGAUGGAGGAUUGGCCUUCUUGGUACAGAUCCUGCCUGUCCUCAUUCUUGUGAUAGUGUCUGCCCUCAGCCAGCUGAUGGUAGUCAAUCCCCCCUACAGCCUCAGCUUCAGACCGUCAGCAGGCCACACCAACAAAAGGCUGACGGAGCACCUGAGGGUGCCUUACUACGUAAAUGAGAAGUUCUCAAGAGAGUACAGCGGAGGCAAUCUGAAAAGUGUGGAGAGGAGCGUGGAGGACGACUACAUCUCCAACCUCAGAAACAACUGCUGGAAAGAAAAACAACAGAAGGAGGGUCUGCUGUAUCGAGCUCGGUACUUCGGUGACAGUGAGCUGUACCAAAGGGCUCAAAGGAUGGGUACACCCAGCUGCUCAAGACUAUCUGAAGUCCAGACGUCCUUAAAUGGAUAAAGGCUUCAGCAACAACAACAUGAAGGUGAUUGCUCUGUAGCAGUCCACUGCUAGAGUUUUAGGUAUUCUCCAAAAUCAACAUUUAAAAAAAAAAAAAAAGAAGAGGUCUAUUCACGGAAAGGAACGGGAAAAAAAAGAAAAAGAAACUGAGCAAACAACUUUAGACUGUUUGUCAACCUCACCACACAAGAUAUCCACAAACCGAACCAGGCAGCGCUCUCCUUUGUGUCCGUGAUGAGGCAUGUGGGCUCAGGCAGAGCCGCUCUGUCUGGACUCCUGUAGAUUAGCUGGGCUCCAUGCUUCCACAUGGGGUCCCAUGACCAGGGCUGGGCUCCAACCAAAAGGGCCCUUGACAAUGCACUGAUGUCGGCUGCUUUGGGAAGGAAUCUGAGAAUGUAAGAUUUAGGGGUAGGAGCCAAUCAGAAUGUUACAAGGAGGCAACUGUAACAUAGCAAUGUAGACAUAACCAAUGAAUCGGAGUAGGUAUUUAUUUAUGUAUGUAUUUAUUUAAGUUAUGAUAUCCCUGAGAUUGAAUUUAACGAGAACAUGCAGUCACUACACAUGUGUAUAUCUGAUUUUGACACAUUUUUAUCUAUGCAGGGUGUCUUUUUAUUCCUAUAAAUCAGGAACAUGAACCAACAGCUUCUGCACAGAAAUAAACAUAUGAAUGCCCCGGAGGAUGGUAUUUCUACACGUAAUUUCAGAGGUGUUUUAUUCAGGAGAAAAUGUUUUUACAGCACUGUUUGUAGAGGGCUUUUUUAUCAAGCACUCGGAGUGAGCCCCCAAACUGUCACCUAUAUUCACUGGAACAGAGGUGGCUGUGGCUCAAUCAAGUAGUUCCAGCACAACGCAGUGGAUUUUAUCAUACGUGCCACACUGCAGGUGCUGGUGUCUGAGGCUGUGGUUUUGGAAUGUGAGCCAUCAUUUAGACCGUCAAGGCGUUGUAGUCACCUCAGGAUAUUGCAAAAUCGUGUGCGCACUCCGUGCCACCGAGCCGUGAGGAGCUGCUCGUUCGCAACUCCAGUAGCUUGGUGAGAGCCUCCCACUCAGUCAUGAUCUCAUUUCAGCUCCUAUUGUAAGCAUGUCUUUGCACUGCCCCCUUGAAUAUUGUGCCAACAUGUAAACUAGGAGCCUGACAUACGCCUUAGUUAGGUACUGGGGUCAGAUAACGUUUUGUGUUUGGAGGUUCUGCAGCUCAUAAAACCUAUGGCUGCAGGCCAACCACAGUUCAAGUGACACUGACAGAGCUAUCCAAUUAUCUGAUCAGUUUUCAACCUUCAUUAGAGUUCAUAGUGAUCAGGUUCUCAGGGCAUGUAGAAGAAAUAUGAACAUCCCCAUCUAAGCACCACCUUUACAUUCUUAUCUUGAAAGCCAGAACUUUCUAAAAGGAAAAGUUGUUUCUUCCAUGCAACCAUGUGUAUAGUUUGAAGAUUUAGUCAAGGUGUACCCACAAGCCAAGUAAUUUGGAGUUGGCCAACUCAUUUAUGCUCACAGCUAUUCAUGAAAAGCUGGAUUUCCUGUGCAUAUAAAAUUCAACUUCACACAAUGUUUGUAAAAAUAA